AUUAAACAGCACAUAAAAUAUCCGACUCGUUGCAUGUUUAAAAAAUCAUCUACUCAUCAAGCUGCGUGCCAUUGAAGUCGAUCGAACAUGCGCGCGCAUACAUGGCCGGCGUAUACAAAAACGAUGGGAAUAAUAACGAUUGGAGACAAAGACAAGAGAGAAUAAAAUCCGCCGACGUCGAGUGUGAGACUCCAUGUGUUCAAUAUGUGUGUACGAGUAUAUGUCUUUUUUCCAUUGUAAAAACCAUUUCAUUUGGCCAUCACGUACAUGAAGAAAAAAGUAAAGAAUGUCGUCGGAUGUCACGCCGUCUGAAACUGCAUAAUGUCCCUUCGUCGUGUGUUUACUUUCUCCAUGGAGAUACCACAACGGUGUGAUGAUUUUUCAUUUCAACUAAAACGGCAAAUAUGAAAACGAAAGAAACUUUUUUGACAAAAGCUGACAGAGUCUGUUAUUUUUCGAAUACAUUUUAUAUUGUGCUACGGGAGCAGUUUUUCUGUGAAAAAAAAAACACUCGUAAUAUCGGUGAAGUCUUAUUUCAAAUUAAAGUCAAAACAUUGAACACAUCAUUUUUAACAAUUUGGAAAACAAUAAGUCGAAAAAGCUAUAGUGGUAUUAUGAAAACGAAAUCGUACUUCUACAACUGAUUUUUCAAACUUUGAGUAUUGUCCAUGUGAUAUAUUUAGUUUUUUUAAAAAAAUUGCAUAAAAUAUAUAUCAUUAAUCAUAAUAUAUACAACUCAAAACCAUAUAAGACAUUUUGUAUCAAAGCACCACUACUCAGAAAUGUAAACGAGAAUAACCAAAUAUUUAAUGGACAUUUCACCGUUAAUAAUGCGUUUUAUCAUAUAGUUAAUGUUUAAAAAAAAAAAUAAUGUAAGUGGCCAAAUCACCCCGCAGUUGUAUAGAACUUGGUUUCAUUGUGUACAGAAGAAAUGAAGUAUGUUUUAAAUAAAGAAAACCCAUUUUA